CAGAUAUGAUGAGUGGUCAAUAUCGCAUUUAGGCGAGAUGGGUGUUCACCCUGGCCUGGUUACGACAAUUGGGCAUCCCCAUUUUUACCAAAUCUG